rnacentral:tRNA from 2 species
GCUGGCGUAGCUCAGUUGGUAGAGCAGCUGAUUUGUAAUCAGCAGGUCGUGGGUUCGAGUCCCUCCGUCAGCUCCG